rnacentral:rRNA from 1 species
CAGCCGCCGCGGGAAUACAGAGGGUGCGAGCGUUAAUCGGAUUUACUGGGCGUAAAGCGUGCGUAGGCGGCUUCUUAAGUCGGAUGUGAAAUCCCUGAGCUUAACUUAGGAAUUGCAUUCGAUACUGGGAAGCUAGAGUAUGGGAGAGGAUGGUAGAAUUCCAGGUGUAGUGGUGAAAUGCGUAGAGAUCUGGAGGAAUACCGAUGGCGAAGGCAGCCAUCUGGCCUAAUACUGACGCUGAGGUACGAAAGCAUGGGGAGCAAACAGGAUUAGAUACCCGUGUAGUCCCUGUCUCUUAUAC